GUGAAUCAUCAAAUCUUUGAACGCAAAUUGCACUCUCCGGUUUUCCUGGAGAUUAUGCCUGUUUAAGGGUCAGCCUAAAAAAAAUCGACAUUGUUGCUGUUUUAUGGUGACUUUCGUCGGAGAUGUGUUAUCUUAGAUCUCGGUUUAAGCGGCUUAAAAAUUUUUUUUACGAUUCUAAGAAUGUUUCUAAUAUUUUUCUUGUACGUUUAAGGUAUCGAAUGUCUUAUUACACGUAUCCGUCAUAUCGUAUCGCUUCCAUAAUCUUUCACUAACU
rnacentral:misc_RNA from 1 species